UGCAUCGGCUGGGAAUCGAACCCGGCAGGCGUGGCAGGCGAGCAUUCUACCACUGAACCACCGAUGG